CGGUGGUGCUGCGCCGCGCUCUCCCCAUCCCCGCCCCGUUCCCGCCGAAUCCGGCGCGGCCGCGCUCCCACCCGCGGUCGGGAGCGCCUGCGGGGUCGCGGGGGGCGAGCCGGCGCGCGGAUCCCUCCGCCUGCGGUAUCGGUGCUGCGGCCGCGCCGCCGCCAUUUUGAAUGCCCGGCUCCGUCCGCCGCUGCUGCUGCAGGGACCGGCCUGAGGAUGCCAGCCCCCAUCAGACUGCGGGAGUUGAUCCGGACCAUCCGGACAGCAAGAACCCAGGCAGAAGAGCGUGAGAUGAUCCAAAAGGAAUGUGCUGCUAUCCGGUCAUCCUUCCGAGAGGAAGAUAACACAUACCGAUGCAGAAAUGUGGCAAAGCUGCUGUAUAUGCACAUGCUGGGAUAUCCUGCACAUUUCGGACAGUUGGAGUGCCUCAAGCUUAUUGCGUCUCAGAAAUUCACAGACAAACGCAUUGGAUAUUUAGGUGCCAUGUUGCUGCUGGAUGAGAGACAGGAUGUUCAUCUUCUUAUGACCAAUUGCAUCAAGAAUGACCUUAAUCACAGCACACAGUAUGUGCAGGGGCUGGCACUUUGUACUCUUGGCUGCAUGGGUUCCUCAGAAAUGUGCAGAGACCUUGCAGGAGAGGUGGAAAAGCUUCUCAAAACUUCCAAUUCCUAUCUUAGGAAGAAGGCAGCACUGUGCGCUGUUCAUGUCAUCAGAAAGGUGCCUGAACUUAUGGAGAUGUUCCUGCCAGCCACCAAAAACCUGCUGAACGAGAAGAACCAUGGUGUUCUUCACACAUCAGUUGUCCUCCUCACAGAGAUGUGUGAGAGAAGCCCAGAUAUGCUUGCACACUUCAGAAAGCUUGUUCCCCAAUUAGUUCGUAUUCUGAAGAACCUUAUCAUGUCUGGAUAUUCACCAGAGCAUGACGUGUCUGGGAUCAGUGACCCCUUUUUGCAGGUACGAAUCCUGCGGUUACUAAGAAUUUUAGGGAGAAAUGAUGAUGAUUCUAGUGAAGCAAUGAAUGAUAUACUUGCACAGGUUGCCACUAAUACAGAAACAAGUAAAAAUGUGGGAAAUGCCAUUCUCUAUGAAACUGUGCUGACUAUUAUGGAUAUAAAAUCUGAGAGUGGCCUGAGAGUCUUAGCCAUUAACAUCCUAGGCCGUUUCUUAUUAAACAACGACAAAAAUAUUAGAUAUGUAGCUUUGACGUCAUUGUUGAAAACUGUGCAGACAGACCAUAAUGCAGUACAGCGGCACCGAAGUACCAUUGUGGACUGCCUGAAGGAUCUGGAUGUCUCCAUUAAAAGGCGUGCGAUGGAACUGAGUUUCGCUCUUGUUAAUGGGAACAAUGUCCGUGGAAUGAUGAAGGAGUUACUGUAUUUCCUAGAUUCUUGUGAACCAGAGUUCAAGGCAGACUGUGCAUCUGGAAUAUUUCUUGCAGCUGAAAAAUAUGCUCCUUCCAAGCGCUGGCACAUAGACACAAUUAUGAGAGUCUUAACAACGGCAGGAAGUUAUGUUCGUGAUGAUGCUGUUCCCAAUCUGAUCCAGUUAAUAACUAAUAGUGUGGAGAUGCAUGCCUACACUGUGCAGAGACUCUACAAAGCCAUCCUUGGAGAUUACUCCCAGCAACCCCUGGUACAAGUUGCCUCCUGGUGCAUAGGAGAGUAUGGAGAUCUUCUGGUGUCUGGUCAGUGUGAAGAGGAGGAACCAAUACAGGUAACAGAGGAUGAAGUUCUUGAUAUUUUAGAGAGUGUCCUGAUAUCUAAUAUGUCUGCAUCUGUGACACGAGGCUAUGCUCUCACUGCCAUCAUGAAGCUUUCCACAAGGUUCACCUGCACUGUCAAUCGCAUUAAGAAGGUGGUUUCCAUCUAUGGCAGCAGCAUUGAUGUGGAGCUACAGCAGAGAGCUGUGGAAUAUAAUGCACUUUUCAAGAAAUAUGAUCACAUGAGGCCAGCACUGCUUGAGAGAAUGCCAGUAAUGGAGAAAGUCACCACAAAUGGCCCUGCUGAGAUUGUACAGACCAAUGGAGAGACAGAGACAGCAGUACUGGAAACCAAACCUCCACCUUCUGGAUUGCAGCCUGCUAACCAGGCAAAUGAUUUAUUGGACUUGUUGGGGGGAAGUGAUAUAACACCUGUAAUUCCCACUGCACCUACAAGCAAGCCAGCCACUGCUGGUGGGGAGCUGCUUGACCUCCUGGGAGACCUCAACCUAACAGGUUCUCCAGUAUCUGCCCCUGCACCCCAGAUAGCACAGCCUCCGUUCCUGCUCGAUGGACUUACAUGUCAGCCUCUCUUCAAUGAUAUUGCUGCAGGAAUACCCUCCAUUACUGCAUACAACAAGAAUGGGCUGAAGAUUGACUUCACCUUUGAGAGGUCGAACACCAACCCUAGUGUCACUGUAAUCACGAUACAGGCCUCCAACAGCACAGAGCUGGAUAUGACAGAUUUUGUUUUCCAAGCUGCAGUACCAAAGACAUUCCAGCUGCAGCUUCUGUCUCCCAGCAGCAGUGUCAUCCCUGCAUUUAAUUCUGGGACCAUCACACAGGUCAUUAAAGUCCUGAAUCCACAGAAGCAACAACUACGUAUGCGGAUCAAGUUGACAUAUAAUCACAAGGGCUCAGCAAUGCAGGAUCUAGCAGAAGUCAACAACUUCCCCCCUCAGUCUUGGCAAUGAGGCUCUGGCACUAUUCUUAUUCUCAUCCCACCCAAUCAAAAGAACUCUGGGAAGAAGGUUGUGAUCCUUGGCAAUCCCCCAAACUGCACCAUGGGCAUGGGGAACGAAAGAGACCUGCUGAUGAGGAGGAAUUUUCCUGAAGUGAUUGCUGACUCUGAAGCAUAUCUGUUAAGAUUAAUCUCCUCUCUUCUGCUGAUGAGGCUGGUGGCUUGUGGAGGCUACUGUGCACUCCCUCACACAUGCAUUCACAGCCAGAAACAACAUUCCCUUCUCCCCUUCCCCACCCUCCUUCCCCCUCAAAAAGGAACAUAGCCUGGUUGGAAGAGAAGUCUGGAAUUUCUAGCAGGGAAACUUUCUUCUCUCUGCAGCAAGUGAGCAGUUGCUCCUUCUUUCUGCUGUCUUUUUUUCCCUGGGGUGGGUAAGGUGUGUUGUCAUUCAUUUCUAGCCGGAUUCCUUCAGGCAUUUUCAUCUGGGACUCAGGUGGGGUCUUGGGGAAUGCCAGGCUGCCCUUCGUCUUUCUUCUUGUAUCCCCUAGGUCUUAAGGGGCUGGAGGCUUCUUAUGACCUACUCAGUGCAUUAUUGUAUACACGCACUUCUUAGUUAUGUGCUGCAUACCAAGAGCAAGUGAGGCCUUUGGAGUUCAUCUGCAAACCUGGAACACAGUGCAGGAGAAGAGGUGCUGAGUUGUACAUGAUCACUCGUACUGAAAGCCAGCAUGCCUCGCUCUCCCUUUGGUUUUGCUGGGAAAGAGCACUGGUACAGGAAAUUAGAUGGGAAGGAAGAAGAAAAUGGUCUCUCGCCUGGCCAGUUUGUUGCAGCAGAGUUGGGAACAGUGUAUUUUGUCCCUCUUGUCAUGCUUGUUUUCUGUCCCCUAGAGCAGCUGUCUGUCUCUGGUAAGCUUGUGGGGUGAAUUCUUUCUGUGUUCUUGGCUGCUUCAGCCACGCUUGCACUGUGUCUGUGGGGAAAUGGGCAUUUCGUCCUGUAUUUGAGUCGAGCUGGAGGAGGCAAUGUGUGUACCCAAAAUACGUUUUGCAGGAAGCCAUCCCUUGGCUAUGAAGUACUCCUUUGUAGCAGCCAAACAUUCCAGUUGUCCUUGGAGCUCUCCCCUCCUCACUAAGGGAUGGAUGCUGACAUUACACAAGAAGGAAGGCCAGGCUUCACAUCUUCCCCUAUCUGCAACACCAGAUAAUGCUGCUUGCUCCUUGACCCCCCUGUGCAUUUCGAGCUCUGUGCUGCUGCUGUGGUUUUCCUCUGGAGAGCACUCGCCCGUCUGAGGCACUCCAAGCAUAUGCUGAGUCCUCUUCCCGCCGGUUGAAUGCAACAGGUCUGGUCAACGUUUUCCUUGCUUCAGUGUAAGGGGGAUGUAAAGGCAGCAAGAUAUGGACUUAAUGGCUAAUCUUACUAGUAUCUGCAUGGGAGGCUUUGGAACUGGGAGACACUGGAUGUCUGUUUUUUCAAGUGAAUGUAUUUUGAGUCAAAAAAAUGACAGAAACAAUAGUGGCCAUAAUGAGCCUGAAGGGGGAGGAGGCAUGGAAAGGUCCUAAAAGUUGACUUUGUCCAGGUCUUGAUGGCACAAAAUAAGGCCUUGAACAACUUACUGAAGCAAUAGCAGUGAGGGGACUGUCUUUACAGUACCUUGGAUCUAUAAUUCAGAAGAUACUGAAGCAGCUGGGAAAGGUACCAGUGCCUUGCUAAGGCUGGUACUAGCUGUGAGCUGCAGCAGCACUGACGCUGGUGCACUUUUAUGUGUUCAUUUUGUACUUGGAGGCUGCGAGGGAAGGAGCCGCUGGACUGCUUCCCUUUUAACUUUCACUCUACUCCUGUAUAUUCCUUUUUCUUUCGUGGUGUUGUAAUUUAAAUUUUACAUAGAGCCCCAUCCCACCUCUUAGACAGCAUAGAGAAAAAACAGCAAACAAAAAGGUACUAAAAUGCCAAUCCCCAACAAACCCACAAACCCACCAAAUUUAAAGUGAAAAACAUGCCAUUUGAGGCAGGGCACCUGUUGGCACUCAAAAUUCUGGAGACCUAUUUUUCAGAUGUGAAAAAUUUAGGUAAAUGCUGAGUAAUAGGUGAGUGAGGAGCUUAACAGAUGUAAACAUUUACAUGGGAUGCAUUAGACUUCUGCUGUGUGUAUUGUCUUUUGGUUGAAACAAAUUAUGAAGUGACUAAUAAAAUGAGUCAAUAUUCAAUGAUUUAAAA